UUAUGGGACCUUGUUGAGCCCGAGAUAGGCCUACCGACAAGUAAAUUUGGAGAACUUGGAAUGCUAAAUGCCUCAUUUUAUUGAUAUAAAAUAAGACGAAUCCUAAAAUGAUGCUAAAUAAAAUGUCACUAGUGUCCAUUACAUUUUCAAAGGAAAAGAAAACUCUUAUCUAUUUGGUCCCAGAAGGACAUUCCCCAGAUUCGGCAGUGUUUGCUCCCUCAUACAGUUCUCUCAGCUCGCGCAGUCCUAGCAACAAGUAGGCCAUGGCCAGAUGUCUGCCUUUAUUUCCUUCAGAAACUCGGCAAUCUUCGACCCUUUUCAAAACUUCUUUCCAGUUCUGCUAUGCCUCGCUCCAAGCAGAUCAGUCGUCUGUUGGCACUGACAGCCAUAUCCCUCCAUUCUCCAAUUAAUUUUUUAUUGGCUUCUUGUAUUUCACGAUGCUCAUUUUCACAUUCUCGCACCCUCUUGUGCAGUUGGUUGUAUUUUACCCGUGCUUCAGCCUUUUCGUCAAUGAUCCUGUUACCUCGAACAAACCCGGGCUGACCCAAAUCAUUGUGACUGUCGUCAAGCUAGCCUAAAUCCUUGGGUGGUUCCUCUUGUAUUUUGUCUUUCAAGCUGUCUAAGAUCCCUGCAAGAUCAAAA
rnacentral:lncRNA from 1 species